GUGCCGAGUCACAUCCCAUUUCUGUAGUGUUGCCCUCCCAUUCGGCUUCACAACACGAGGACACCACAGAAGAAGCUAUUGGGUUAGCUAGAACAGAGAGUUGUACCAACAACACCAACAUGUCAAUUCAAUGGUGGGGCCUCCUACUGGACCUGUGGUUUCUUUUGUCCUGCCUACCAUUUCACAUCUCAGCUUUCAAUCUGGACACGGACACAAAGCAUGUUCUGAGGAAAAAUGGUGAUCCAGGAAGCCUGUUUGGAUUCUCCUGGCACUGCACCAUCAACUGAAUCCUGUCAAUAAGAAACUAUUGCUGGUUGGAGCACCACGCGCCAAGUCAUUUACCAAAAUUGAAGUUACAGGAGGAAUCUACCAGUGUGAGCUCACCACUGAUUCUAAGAGCUGUGAGCGUGUCAAGCUUGACAAUGAUGGUUUGUUUGCUUCCACUCACGUGUAAUAGGUUUUUGUGUGUUUGAUUGCUGUUAAGAAAAUAUGUGUGAUUUUGUUAAUGUGUAUUUAACAUUAAUGUGCGUGAACGCUAACUUUUGUGUUUGAAAAUGAAUGUUCCCCCGAGUUUGUUAAAAGCAAGGAUGUCAAAGACCAAUGGAUGGGUGUACGAGUGACAAGCCAAGGCCCUGGUCAAAGCGUUAUUACCUGCGCACAUCGAUACCAGGAGUGGAGCACCAAUCCUGACACCCCUAACCUCGUAUUCGGUCAGUGCUAUAUCCUGGGGGAAGAUCUCCACAAGAGUGAUGCCCAUAGAAUCUGGAGGAGGGUGAUCUGUGAUGACAGAAAACACAUCAAGGAUAAGCCUAAGAAUCCUGAUUGGUUCGGAUACUGUCAACAAGGUCAUUCUGCCGCCUUCGCCAAGGACAACACAUCUCUGCUGUUUGGGGGCCCCGGAGCUUACCAGUGGAAAGGAAUUGUCAGAAUGGAGUCCCUAGACAACCUUGAAGUGUCAAAUGAAGAGCCCUGUGAAACUGGGGAUGUGGACAGACUUGACCGUGACCUCAUCCCUCUCCUUAACAACAGUUAUCUAGGGUUCUCAAUCGACUCUGGAAUGGCCCUCACCAAGAAGGGCCAGCUGACUAUAGUGUCUGGGGCACCACGAGGCGGUUUCAGUGGGGAGGUGGCAUUUCUGAAGAGAGACCCAUUGGCUGAAAGGAGUCUAUCUGUGGAAAACAUCCUUAAAGGCCCAGGCCUGGCCUCCUCCUUUGGCUACGACAUAGCCGUGGUGGACCUCAACGCUGAUGGGUACAGAUUUCAGCCAGUAGCUUUGUCACAAUUAUCUCCCCUUCCUCCCGAAAUGUGCAUUGUUCACUUCCUUUCAAUGAUUUGAAAGGAAAUUACUGGUAUACCAAAUAUGGUGGAAACUCUCACUAGCCGUGCCUCCACCAAUUCAAUGCUUUAAAGAGAUUCUCCGGUACAUAGUUCUGAAAGUAGUGGUCCCUAAGUGGUCCCCUGAAAAUUGCCUACUAAGUCACAUAUCAGCAACGAUGUGCACCACAUCAUUGCUCUCUCUCUCUCUCGCUCUGCUGUUUGUGCAUCUUGCUAGCUGUCACUCAAAUGGUGAGGGGCUGAAGCUCAAUGGCUAGAAUUGCUAGGGGGCUGUCCCAUGUGGGGGAAAAUGGUGGGGAAAUGGUGCAGCACAGCUUCCAGAAAAACAGUUUAUUUCAAACUAGGGAGUUCGUGGUUAAUCGAGGUGAUAGUAAUUCUGCACAUACACUAUGCAUGUAUGAACUACACAUGGACACAUCCAGCCCAAAGCAGGAGGUUUAAAAAAUACUAAACAUUCGCCGGUUCCCCAGCAUGUCUUUAAGAUUUGUGGGAGCAAGUGACCAAAUGCACAUUUCAGAAGAGAAGCAAUAUUAUUGUGAUGCACGAUUUGUAUACAGUAGGUCUUGUUAAAGGCCCAGUUCAGUCAAACAUUAGAUUUUUCUGUGUUUUAUAUACAAUAUUUUCCUCACUAUGAAAUUGGAAUAAUAUUGCGAAAAUUAUGAUAAUGCCCUUUUAGUGUAAGAACUGUUUGAAAAGACAACCUGAAAUUUAAGGCUGUUUUCUUGGGAUGGAGUUUUGGCCUCACCUGACAUCACCAGGGGGUAAAUUGGUUGAUAGUUUUCAGAAUUCCUUCCCCACUCAGACCACACCCAGACAGACAGAGCAAAAUUCUUGCUAAGAAGCUAUUUUUGUUUCUUUUAACCCAUUUUAAUUGAAAACAAUCACAGUAAGAUACUUACAGUGCCUUCAGAAAGUAUUCACAACCUUUCACUUUUCCACAUUGUGUUGUGUACAAAGGCAUGAAUUUAAAAUUCUUCUGGACAAACUAAAUACAAUCUUUGCCCACUUUGAAGAUUUUAAAGUGCCACUGACAUGACCCGCUACCAAGGACUGUGGGCUCUCCUUCUCCGUGGCCGACCUGAGUAAGACAUUUAAAUGUGUUAACCCUCGCAGGGCUGUCGGCCCAGGCGGCAUCCCUAGCCGCGUCCUCAAAGCAUGCGUAGACCAGCUGGCUGGUGUGUUUACGGACAUAUUCAAUCAAUCCCUAUCCCAGUUUGCUGUGAAAGAGACUGAAAAAUAGCUACUAUCUCAAGGCCAACAGACUGUUAAACAGCCAUCACUAACACAGUGAGGCUACUGCCUACAUACAGACUUGAAAUCAUUGGCCAAUUUAAUAAAUGGAUCACUAGUCACUUUAAUAAUUCUACUUUAACUAUUUUACGAUAGGGGGCAGCAUUUUCACUUUUGGAUGAAUAGCGUGCCCAGAGUGAACUGCCUCCUACUCUUUCCCAGAUGCUAAUAUAUGCACAUUAUUAUUAGUUUUGGAUAGAAAACACUCUGAAGUUUUUAAAACUGUUUGAAUGAUGUCUGUGAGUAUAGUCGCACUGCAUGAGGCAAAUGGUGGUCACGCCAGAUACAGGUAUCUUUUUAGCCCUCUAUUGAUGGGGUCAUGAUAGGGGCUGCACCAAAUGUUUGAUCUACAAUAAUACUUGUGUUACGUUCGUCAAUGGAAGGAUCGGACCAAGGUGCAGAGCUGUAGGGGUACAUUUUAAUUUAUUAAAUUAACCCCGAAAAAAAAAAACAUCCAAAACGAAACGUCUAGUUGGGCUAAACACCACAGUACCAUAAACAAGAUCCCACACUCUACAGGUGGAAAAAAGGCUGCCUAAGUAUGAUCCUCAAUCAGACACAACGAUAGCCUCAGAUUGGGAAACAUACCCGGCCAACAAAGAAAUAGAAAACAUAGAUUGCCCACCCUAGUCACACCCUGACCUAACCAAAUAGAGAAUUAAACGGAUCUCUCUCAGGUCAUGGCGUGACAAAUUGAUUAUGCUUAUGUUGUAUUAAUAGAAGGGGAAGUGAUAUAAGACCCCUCCCCACUACAUUUAUAGUGUCCUAGACUACAGAUUAACAAUAUAUAAUAUAUAUAUACAUUAUAAGGUUUUUAAAUUGUUCCACCGUCUUUUCUAAGUCUCUGCCUCUUAUAAAGAAAUGGUCUGAGAAAUGUGUGAAAUAUUGUAUGGGGUCUGUGAGGAAGCACUUCAAAGAUAAACAUAGAGCCCUGCAGGGGAGUAAAAGAGAUAAGAGGCUCGUCAGACAUACCUCUAUAAAUCAACUUGGGGGAGUGGACAUUUAUUGCUGAGGCUUUAGAAAACACUGGGACUAUUGUCAGGAGAAACAUCAGUUGUAUCUGUGAUGUUUGAUCUUUGACUUCUGUCUACAAGUGUAUUUUGAUUAAAAUUGUUAUGAAUUAUAAGUGCACAUUUUGAGUGUGCCUUAUUUGUUAAGUAAAUAAAACGGAGCACAGAAAAACGGAACCAACGUUAUCACCAUACCUGUUUAUUGUGGCCGUUGAAAUGUUAGUGAUAAAAAUCUGAUCCAGUGAUAACAUUAAGGGGCAAAAAAAAUGCAUUGGUUAGAGACAAAAUAAUUAAUGUACGCUGAUUCAAGUUUUCUCUUGAAUCCUCAAUCUUCAACCUUGAAGGGCCUUAUUGAGGUUUCUGUUGACUAAAACUCCACUGUGAUAAGUGUAUUAUUUUACGUUAUGGGUGUCUAAAAGAUACAAACAUGAAAUUGCCAUGUGGUCUCCUAAUUAAAUAGGUAGAUGGUGAAGUUGUUGUGCUUGGUGCACAUCCUGGAAAAGUCUAACGAUUUUGCAACUAUUAACUUUGAUAGGAAUUUAGUCUAAUAGAUACAGUAGGAUCUUGAAACCUUGGAGAGGGAAAGACCUGUCCAUCUACGGCAUAAUUACCCUGAUUAAUUUCCUAGUAGUUUACAUAUCUAUUCACUGCUCUACCGAUUCCAGGAUAUUCUUUUUUCCAAGAAAUGUGAGCAUUUGUUUUUUUGUUUUUUUAAAUCUGGAGUUAAAAAUAUCAAAUAUUAAGGCAUUAACCUCUCACUUAAAGCCUCCAUUAUACCUAAAUUAUAUCUACAGUAAAUCCAAACUGGCUUUCCAGCAGACUACAAAAGCGGCACAUCCAAUGUUCAAAAGGGGUCUCUUUGCCAUUAUGCAGAUUAAAACAAACCAUUUCUGGUGGGUUGACAAUGGAACCGUGUUUAAAGUAUCCUCCUUUUUAAAUUAAGCCAUACAGAGUUUGUUACAAUUCCAAUUUCGUCCUCCAGACAGAACAAAUAUUACAGAAAAUAAUAUGGCUAAAUUCCUGUACUGAUAGAGGAAAGACCAAUUUUGGGGGGGAAGUAUAAGCAAGGUGUCAUGUUUAUGAAUGACAUUGUAAAUAAGGCCGGUAAAAUGUUGUCACACAAGCAAUUAACAAAGGUGUAUGCAGAUGUAUGCUCAAGACAAAAGUUAACUCAUUGUCUGGGGCAUCAUCGGACUGAGCUUAUUUUCAUUGACAAUGCCACCAGCCAUACUGCUCUUUCUGUGAGUGAUUUCCUGCAAGCCAGGAAUGGCAGUGUUCUGCCAUGGCCAGCGAAGAGCCCGGAUCUCAAUCCCAUUGAGCACGUCUGGAACCUGUUGGAUCGGCGGGAUAGGGAUAGGGAUAGGGCAAUUCCCCCCAAAAAUGUCUGGGAACUUGCAGGUGCCUUGGCGGAUGAGUGGGGUAACAUCUUACAGCAAGAACUGGCACAUUAUUCCAUUUCUGUAAGACACAUGUCUGUGGAACUUGUUCAGUUUAUGUCUCAGUUGUUGAAUCUUGUUAUGUUCAUACAAAUAUUUACACAUUAAUUUUGCUGAAAAUAAAUGCAGUUGACAGUGAGAGGACAUUUCUUUUUUUUGCUGAGUUUAUAACAAACUCAUCGCAGCACUGCAACAAAAAUGGAGGAGGCAUUUAUUCAAAAGCAAAAAGAAUUAAUUCGUUUGUCUGCCGCCAGUCAAAAACUAUGCACGGCGUAGCCCUUCACACGCGUACUCGUAUGGGUUUAAAAUGUCAGAUUUGAGUAUUGAUAAAUGCCUAAAUUGAAACGCAGUGGCUGUACAGUAACAUGCUGUAUAUGACGUCAUAGCACUGGCUCUGCGCUUUACAGCGCUGUAUCGGUUUGGACAGACAACCGUUUUAAACUUGAGCACCUAGCGUGACGACAAGUUGCCCCCAUCCCUCCUGCUAAUUGGGCAACUUUUGCAUGUUUGAUGGAUGGAAAUGCUGUAAAUUUAAGAUAACUAUGUAUUUGGAAAGAUGAGAAGUUGAGAAUUAUAAUAAAUACCACUUUGAUAUCAUACAAGCUAGUCAAAUAACCAUGAGUCCUGGAGACACCAGUUAGUCCUCUCACUAAAAUCCUUGAAACUUUUUUGUCUUAUUUUGCACUAAAUCAACCCAUUUGUCAAAUAUGUUGCUUUCAUCAAAAAAGUGAAGGAUUUAAUCACCCCACUAAUACUUGUGAUGGAUUUGUUGCCUUUUUUUAUGUUGUCUGCUUCUUAGAAACUGCUUGACCGAUCUACACCAAAUUUGGCGUGAAGCAUUAAGGGCAGUAGUUAUCUUCCCAGCAUAUUUUUCAUGAAUGUAGCUCAAACAAAAUGGUCGCUAUAAGGAAACUGCUGGUGGCACUUUUGUAAGGUAACUGCAACGCCCCCUGGGUACCAAAUCUGUGAUGGCCCAAUAUCUAAAUCUUUUCAGGAUAGACCUACCUAAUGUGCCAAAUUUGAUGCUUUUAACACAAACUGAACAAUGCAUUUGCUUUGCCAUCCCACUAAAAGGAAAUAUUCACAAACAAAACCAAGCUCAAGAACCCUUAAGAGAAUCAAAACAUUUUCCAGCAGUAUUGUUAGCUAGUCAUUACUAAGGCCCUGCACAAGAUGUCACAGGAACUCAUAAAAGUAAAACUUUCCAAAAGUAAAGUGCCUUCGGAAGGUAUUCAGACCACUUGACAUUUUCCAUAUUUUGUUAGAUUACAGCCUUAUUCUAAAAUUGAUGACAUUUUCUUUCUUCCUCAAUCUACACACAAUAACCCAUAAUGACAAACCAAAAACAGAAAUGUUUGCAAAUUAAUCAAAAUGAUAAAGUGUCAUAUCACAUCUACAUAAGUGUUCAAACCCUUUUCUCAGUACUUACUUGAAGCACAUUUUGGUGGUGAUUACAGCCUCGAGUCUAAUUGGGUAUGACACUACGAGCUUGGCACACAUGUAUUUGGGGGGUUUCUCCAAAUAUUAUAUGCAGAUCAUCUCAAACUCUGUCAGGUUGAUAGUUACUUGAACUCUGUGAUGCCAAACUUUAGGCAGCAAUUUCUGAGGCUGGUAACUCCAAAGAACUUUUCCUCUGCAGCAGAGGUAACUCUGGGUCUUCCAUUGCUGUGGCAGUCCUCAUGAGAGCCAGUUUCAUCACAGCACUUGAUGGUUUUUGCGACUGCACUUGAAGAAACUUUCAAAGUUCUUGAAAUGUUCCAUAUUGACUUUCAUAUCUUAAAGUAAUGAUGGACUGUUGAUUCUCUUUGCUUAAUUGAGCUGUUAUUGCUGCAAUUUGGACUUGGUCUUUUACCAAAUAGAGCUAUCUUCUGUAUACCACCCCUUGUCACAACACAACUGACUGGCUCAAACACAUUAUGAAGGAAAGAAUUUCCACAAAUUAACUUUUAACAAGGCACACUAGUUAAUUGAAAUGCAUUCCCGGUGACUACCUCAUGAAACUGGUUGAGAGAAUGCCAAGAGUGUGCAAAGCUGUCAUCAAGGAAAAUGGUGGCUAUUUGAAGAAUUUCAAAUAUAAAAUAUAUUUUGAUAUGUUUAACACUUUUUUGUUACUACGCGAUUCUAUAUGUGUAUUGACCAAGGCCCUUCUCCCCCGAUUGGGAACAUUUGCUAUCUAACUGGGAGUCUUGUGAGUGAAAACAUCCGAAGCUCAUCAAAGGUAAACGAUUGAAUUUGAUUGUUUUUCUGAUUUUGGUGAUCAGGUUGCCUGCUGCUAGAUAGGCAUAAUGAUAUGUUAGGCUAUUGAUAAACUUACACAAAAGCUUGCCUUGCUUUGGCUGUAAAGCAUAUUUUCAAAAUCUGAGAUGACAGGGUGAUUAACAAAAGGCUAAGCUGUGUUUCAAUUUAUUUCACUUGUGAUUUCAUGAAUAUUAAUAUUUUCUAGUAAUAUUUUUGUACGUUGCGUUAUGCUAAUUAUUGUCAGUUGAUGGUUACGCUCCCGGAUCCGGGAUGGUAGUUACAAGAGGUUUUAAACAUGCAAUCUUUGUCCAUCAAAUCCAAUCAAAUGUUAUUUGUCACAUACACAUGUUCAGCAGAUGUUCAUGUGGGUGUAGCUAAAUUCUUGUGUUUCGAGCUCCCACAGUUCAGCAAUAUCUAACAAUUCACAACAAUACACACAACAUAAAAGUAAACAAAUGGAAUUAAUAAAUAUAUAAAUAUUAGAAUGAGCAAUGUCGGAGUGAUAUAGACUAAAUACAGUAGAAUAGAACACAGUAAAUACAUAUGAGAUGAGUAAAGCAAAAAUAUGCAAACAUUAUUAAAGUGACUAGUGUUCCAUUAUUAAAGUGGCCAGUGACUUCAAGUCUAUGUACAGUUGAAGUCGGAAGUUUACAUACACUUAGGUUGUAGUCAUUAAAACUUGUUUUUCAACCACUUCACAAAUGUCUUUUUUUGGCAUGUCGGUUAGGACAUCUACUGUGUGCAUGACACAAGUCAUUUUUCCAACAAUUGUUUACAGAUUAUUUCACUUAUAAUUCACUGUAUCACAAUUCCAGUGGGUCAGAAGUUUACAUACACUAAAUUGACUGUACCUUUAACCAGCUUUGAAAAAUCCAGAAAAUUAUGUCAUGGUUUUAGAAGCUUCUGAUAGGCUAAUUGAAAUAAUUUGAGUCAAUUGGAGGUGUGCCUGUGGAUGUACAGUUGAAGUCGGAAGUUUACAUACACCUCAGCCAAAGACAUUUAAACUCCGUUUUUCACAAUUCCUGAUAUUUAUUCCAAAUAAGAAUUCCCUGUCUUAGGUCAGUUAGGAUCACCACUUUAUUUUAAGAAUGUGAAAUGUCAGAAUAAUGUAGUAACCAAAAAAGUGUUAAAAACAUCAAAAUAGAUUUGAUAUUCUUCAAAGUAGCUCUUGGCAUUCUCUCAACAGGCUUCAUGAGGAAUGCUUUUCCAACUGUCUUGAUGGAGUUCCCACAUAUGCCAAGCACUUGUUGGCUGCUUUUCCUUAACUCUGCGGUCCAACUCAUCCCAAACCAUCACAAUAAGGUUGAGGUUGGUUGAUUGUGGAGGCCAGGUCAACUGAUGCAGCACUCCAUCACUCUCCUUCUUGGUCAAAUAACCCUUACUCAGCGUGUUGGGUCAAUGUCAUUUUGAAAAACAAAUGACUGUCCUGCUAAUGGAAUGGCGUAUUGCUGCAGAAACCUGUGGUUGCCAUGCUUGUUAAGUGUGCCUUGAAUUCUAAAUAAAUCACUGACAGUGUCACCAGCAAAGCACACCCACACCAUCAAACCUCCUCCUCCAUGCUUCACGGUGGGAACCACACAUGCGGUGAUCUUCUGUUCAACUACUCUGCGUCUCACAAAGACACGGCGGUUGGAACCAAAAAUCUAACAUUUUGACACAUCCGUCCAAAGAACAGAUUUCCACCGGUCUAAUGUCUAUUGCUUGUCUUUCUUGGCCCAAGCAAGUCUCUUCUAUGCAGGAAUUCGACCAUAAAGGCCUAUUUCACGCAGUCUCCUCUGAACAGUUGAUGUUGAGAUGUGUCUGUUACUUGAACUCUAUGAAGCAUUUAUUUGGGCUGCAAUGUCUGAGGCUGGUAACGCUAACAAACGUAUCCCCUGCAGAAUAAGUACCUUUGGGUCUUCCUUUGCUGUGGCGCUCCUCAUGAGAGCCAGUUUCAUUACAACGAUUGAUGGUUUUUGCGACUGCACUUGAAGAAACUUUCAAAGUCCUUCAUGUCUUAACUUCUUGGAUAUAGGGGGGCGCUAUAAUAAUUUUUGGAUGAAAAACGUUCCCGUUUUAAACUAGACAUUUUGUCACGAAAAGAUGCUCGACUAUGCAUAUAAUUGACAGCUUUGAAAAGAAAACACUCUGACGUUUCCAAAACUGCAAAGAUAUUGUCUGUGAGUGCCACAGAACUGAUGUUACAGAAAAAACCCAGAUAAAAAUCCAAUCAGGAAGUGCCGCAUUUUUUGAAACCGCCUCAUGGCAAUGACUCCUUAAAUGGCUGUGAAGGAGCUAGGAGUCAGCUUACCUUUUCCACGUUUUCCCCAAGGUGUCUGCAGCAUUGUGACAUAUUUGUAGGCAUAUCAUUGGAAGAUUGACCAUAAGAGGCUACAUCUACCAGGUGGUCGCUUGGUGUCCUCCGUCGCAAUUAUUGCGUAAUCUCCAGCUGCAGUAUUUUUCGUUUGCUUCUGAUGAGAAGGCAACUGCCACCACUGAUAGAUUAUCGAAUAGAUAUGUGAAGAAGACCUUGAGGAUUGAUUCUAAACAACGUUCGGCCGUGAAGCGAUAGGCCACACAAGCUGUCAGAACGGGAUUGGCGAGUGCUGAAGGGCGCAGCGCGUUAAAAUCGUCUGUCAUCUCUUGCAACACUCACUACCAAGUUCAAAACUGCCUCUGGAAGCAUCGUCAGUGCAAUAACUGUUUGUCGGGAGUUUCAUGAAAUGGGUUUCAAUGGCCAAACAGCUGCGCACAAGCCUAAGAUCACCAUGAAUUUGGAGCACUGGAAAUGUGUUCUCUGGAGAGAUGAAUCACGCUUCACCAUCUGGUAGUCCGAUGGACGAAUCUGGGUUUGGCAGAUGCCAAGAGAAUGCUACCUGCCAACUGUAAAGUUUGGUGGAAGACUAAUGGUCUUCGGCUGUUUUUCAUGUUCGGGCUAGACCCCUUAGUUCCAGUGAAGGGAAAUCUUAACGCCACAGCAUACAAUCACAUUCUAGAUGAUUCUGUGCUUCUAACUUUGUGGCAACAGUUUGGGGAAGCAGUUUGAGGAAGCACACAUAAAUGGUUUGUCGAGAUCGGUGUGGAAGAACUUGACUGGCCUGCACAGAUCCCUAACCUCAACCCCAUCGAACACCUUGGGGAUUAAUUGGAAUGCCGACUGUGAGCCAGGCCUAAUCGCCCAACAUCAGUGCCCGACCUCAUUCAUUUUCUUGUGGCUGAAUGGAGCAAGUCUCCGCAGAAAUGUUCCAACAUCUAGUGGAAAGCCUUCCCAGAAGAGUGGGCUGUUAUAGCAGGAGAGUUUGGACCAACUACAUAUUAAUGCCCAUUAUAUUGGAAUGAGAUGUUCGACGAGCAGGGGUCCACAUACUUUUGGUCAUGUAGUGUAUGUUUUUACAUCACUGCCUAUAGUUUCAUUAAAUUAUCAGCUGCUAUCAUAUGACUCAAAAGUCUGGCUCCCUGAUUGGAUAUGUUGACCCUACAGGAAGUACUAGUGAAGUGCAACCCCAAUGACAAUGGUACACUGACAGACUGUGAACUGGGAAACCCAUUCAAAAGAGAUGCUGAAGUUACUUUCUAUGUAAUAUUGUCCACUUCCCGCAUCUCUCUGAUCACAACUGAUGUAAAUGUUACCUUGCAGCUUGAAACGUAAGUAUAACAGUGCACAUAAAUGUUUGUUAGAGGACCCAUUAGCUAUGGGUAAUAAAUGGAACAUUUGA